rnacentral:sRNA from 1 species
UUAAUAUUCCUUGUUGUUUUUGAUGCAUUUUGUUAGUGUUUUCAGGAGAUAAGUAUGAAGAGCUGAGGGAAAUGGAUUUAGGCUUUGACGGAACAGCAAUACACUUGACCACCAAGCAAUCAAAGACACUCAACCUUGUUUUGGCUACUCCAUGCCAGGAAAUUACUCGACCGCCUUGCUGGCCGCAAUAGAAGAAGAGAGCAGUAUAUUCGACCACACCCUACAGGGAUCGAAAAAAAUGUGAUCGAGUACAGUUGAUGCAAUCAUGACUUCCACAUGUCAGGAAUUCACUCGAGGGCGGUGCUGGCUGCCACGAAGGAGAAGAGAUCGAGCCUCCUCUGGACAUGCCCUCGAGGAGAUAUGACGAGCCUGAGCCAAGUCAGCACAGGCCUAAGCCUAGUGAGCAAUGAGUCUCACAAGUCCCUGCGAGGCAUUCAUCAUUCGAGCCUCGGGAGCACGGGAGAAAGAAGAAUGCUGCACUCGUUCGAUCAAGCAGUAGGAGUACACGACUUCUCCAAUCUAGAAGUUUACGUGACCGCGGUGUUGGCCAGAGCAGAAGGAGAGAGGUCGAGUAUCAUCAAGGCGGUGCUGUUUGCCACGAAGGAGAAGAGAUCGAGUACCCACAGGGCAGAGGUGAGACACAACAGGAAGAUUCUUCAAUGGCCUGGGAGCAAUCACAGGCAGCUAUUGACGACCAACUCCGCUCUUUCUUCACCUGAGGUAAGCACCUCACUUCACCAUUGUAAUAUACCAUCACCUGUUUUUAUUUUGUUUCUGUGAUGUGUUUUGUCCUGAGUACUGUCUUCCAAAUUUGGUCACACAGUAGACUGUGUGAUUUAAGUUUGGGGGAAGGCUCAGGAAGUGUGUGUUGCAUUGUAUAUAGUCUUGAUUCUGUAUUCAUCUAAGGCAUAGAAAAAACCAAAAAAAUCGAAACAUUUGUGAAAAUGAUUUCACAAAAAUAGAGUGUUCCUAUAGUUGCAUUACAUUUAGGAUCGUGUCUUGAGUGUUUCAUUUAGGAUUGUUGCAUAUGCAAAGGGGAUAAUGAUGAGAUAGCCUUGUAAGCAUUUUGGUUCACAAGAUAAACUCAGUGCCCUCGGUGUUAGUUGUCUGAUGCGUAGUCAAUGAAAUUGAAGUAAAACUGAACCAUGCCUAGAAUGCUCUACUUGACCACACUGUCAUGAUUUGAUAUCAUUCCCUAUUAA